UGUAUUUAUUAGAUUAAAAACCAAUGCCCUUCGGGGCUCCUUGGUGAUUCAUAAUAACUUAACGAAUCGCAUGGCCUUGUGCCGGCGAUGGUUCAUUCAAAUUUCUGCCCUAUCAACUUUCGAUGGUAGUAUAUGGGACUACCAUGGUUUCAACGGGUAACGGGGAAUUAGGGUUCGAUUCCGGAGAGGGAGCCUGAGAAACGGCUACCACAUCCAAGGAAGGCAGCAGGCGCGCAAAUUACCCAAUCCCGACGCGGGGAGGUAGUGACAAUAAAUACUGAUACAGGGCUCUUUUGGGUCUUGUAAUCGGAAUGAGUACAAUUUAAACCCCUUAACGAGGAACAAUUGGAGGGCAAGUCUGGUGCCAGCAGCCGCGGUAAUUCCAGCUCCAAUAGCGUAUAUUAAAGUUGUUGCAGUUAAAAAGCUCGUAGUUGAACCUUGGGCCUGGCUGGCCGGUCCGCCUCACCGCGUGCACUGGUCCGGCCGGGCCUUUCCUUCUGGAGAGCCCCAUGCCCUUCACUGUGGCGUGCGGGGGAACCAGG
rnacentral:rRNA from 1 species